rnacentral:tRNA from 1 species
CGGGCGAUGGCGAAGCCGAUGCCGCGACGGCGGCUCACGCCCGUCACGAGGACCGUGCGCUGGGUCAUGCCGCCGUUCUAUCGGAGUCGGCCCC